GUGAGGUCAAGAAGGCACCGGUGAGGCCGAGAGGGCCCCUGUGAGACUGAGACGGCCCCGGUGAGACUGAGACGGCCCCUGGGAAGCUGAGAAAAAUACCAC